CCAGCCGUUUUUAUGGAAAUGGGCAGUUGGGUAAAGGAGGAAAACCCAGUCUGGCGGUUUCAGAGAAAAAGACUAACACCAGCUCAAUCCUGUGAAUCAGACAUAGAGGCUUGACAAAUGAAAACUGUGCUCUUCAGCUGGCUCUGCUGGGCGUGCAACCUGAGAGACUUUCUUGGCACUGGAGAGUGAACAAGCCUGGUGUGUGAUACAAGGACCAUGCAAAGAGGAUGAGGAAAUAAUCACACGUAUCACAUUGAACAGCCAUCCAA